GGAUUUAUAGCUUAGUUGGUAGAGUAUGAGUCUGUUAAUCUCAGGGUCAUGGGUUUGAACCCAACAUUGGGCAAGAGAUUCC